rnacentral:rRNA from 1 species
AUUGAACGCUGGCGGCAGGCCUAACACAUGCAAGUCGAACGAGUGGCGGACGGGUGAGUAAUGUAUGGGAAACUGCCUGAUGGAGGGGGAUAACUACUGGAAACGGUAGCUAAUACCGCAUACCAUCAGAUGUGCCCAGAUGGGAUUAGCUGGUUGGUGGGGUAACGGCCCACAAAGGCGACGAUCCCUAGCUGGUCUGAGAGGAUGACCAGCCAAACUGGAACUGAGACACGGUCCAGACUCCUCCGGGAGGCAGGAGUGGGGAAUAUUGCACAAUGGGCGCAAGCCGGAUGCAGCCAUGCCGCGUGUAUGAAGAAGGCCUUCGGGUUGGAAAGUACUUUCAGCGGGGAGGCGUUACCCGCAUAAGAAGCACCGGCGAACUCCGUGCCAGCCGCCGCGGUAAUUC